rnacentral:rRNA from 1 species
AUUGAACGCUGGCGGCAUGCCUUACACAUGCAAGUCGAACGGCAGCACGGGUGCUUGCACCUGGUGGCGAGUGGCGAACGGGUGAGUAAUACAUCGGAACGUACCUUAUCGUGGGGGAUAACGCAGCGAAAGUUGCGCUAAUACCGCAUACGCCCUGAGGGGGAAAGCGGGGGACCGUAAGGCCUCGCGCGAUUAGAGAGGCCGAUGUCUGAUUAGCUUGUUGGUGAGGUAAAAGCUCACCAAGACGAUGAUCAGUAGCUGGUCUGAGAGGACGAUCAGCCACACUGGGACUGAGACACGGCCCAGACUCCUACGGGAGGCAGCAGUGGGGAAUUUUGGACAAUGGGGGCAACCCUGAUCCAGCAAUGCCGCGUGAGUGAAGAAGGCCUUCGGGUUGUAAAGCUCUUUUGUCAGGGAAGAAACAGCAGCUCUAACACAGUCUGCGAAUGACGGUACCUGAAGAAUAAGCACCGGCUAACUACGUGCCAGCAGCCGCCGUAA